rnacentral:lncRNA from 1 species
AUUUAUUUAACAAUAGGAGCGAGGAGAAAACUUGUGGUGGCCGGCGCUGACAAGCACCGUUUAAAGGCGGCGGCAGUGGUCCAGUUACGGAUGAAUCUGCAGCCCACGGAAAAGGCCUCAUUUCUUUUAUUUGGAAAAACAACACUGCAAACUGCCAAAGUUUUCACAAUAUCCGAGGAUAUGCUGAAAAUGUGUUUCCUUGGAUACUCCGUUGUGAUCCAUCAGGUCCAACACCACCCCACUCCAAACACCAAAAAAGAAAAAAGAAAAAAGAAAAAAAAUCAAAAUCUGUUUUCUUCCAUAUGAAUCCACAUUUUUUAAUCUUAUAUAGCUAAAAUUCUAAACAGGGACUAUUGCUAGAAUGAAGGAAGAGCACACAACCCCUAUAGGCUAUAAGAUUACUUCAAAGAAGAUUCAAAGUUAGAAGCUUUAUAUGCAUGAUUUGCAUACAGAUCGACCCAAAAAUAGAAGAUCAAGAACCCAUAUUCCAAUCUUCCACAGUAAACCGAUACGUAUACACACACAGACACACUGAUAUAUAUAAUAUAUAUGUGUAUACAAGUACUCAUACAGAAGUGACAGAAAUAUUGGGCAGUUGUGAAGGAGAAAAGGCCAAGAAAAUCAGUAGAACCAUGAUCAAAACUGGGACAAGGAGCAGAACCGUGGGCGGCGGCGGAAGUGGUGGCAGAAACAGUGGCAACACCAAGAGUGAUAAAGUUAACAAAACCAUUAUAAUCACCUCUCUUAAACUAAAAUACAUGAACGUCAAAUUCUUCGAUGGCUUUUGGUUUCACUACUUUUCACCUUAAAUGCUAGACUUUGCUCAAUCCUGUACAUCUUCAUCUUCAUCCAUUGCAGUCUAACAAUCCCAAUUUCCGUUUAUAAUGUCCGAUAGUACUUCUUCUGCUCUGCAAUUUAGAAUUUAUGUUAUCAAUGAAGGGAGAUUAAUGGCUAGGCGUUACAAUGGAGAAGAUGAGACGGGUCUUUGUCAAUUCGACACGUCAUCUGACAAAGCACUAACGUAAUGUCAAAGUUUGGUUAGAUUCAUGGUAAAAGAAUGAUUUUUUGUGUAAUAUUUAGGAGAGGGAAAAUACCGUUGGAGUCCCCAGCUUAUUAAAAAUAUAGAAAUAAAGUCCCCAGCCUAAUAUAUUUGCAGCCUUGAUCUCCAAUACUCUUAACUUUUCAUCUUUAUAAUACUAGUAACAGGUAAACGUGCAUUGUAAGUUUUUUUAUUUAAAUGCUUUAUAAGUGUUGUAAAAAUAAAAGUAAAUGAACUUGAAAAAUUAAUUU